GACUCGAUAGUGGAUAGCCCACAUCUGCGUCCAAUGGAGAUUAUUCUUUCGAAUAUUCUGCAGGAGAUGCCGGUUCAACUCCGGCUCGAGUCG